GAUGAACGCUGGCGGCGUGCCUAAUACAUGCAAGUCGAGCGAACAGACGAGGAGCUUGCUCCUCUGACGUUAGCGGCGGACGGGUGAGUAGCACGUGGAUAACCUACCUAUAAGACUGGGAUAACUUCGGGAAACCGGAGCUAAUACCGGAUAAUAUAUUGAACCGCAUGGUUCAAUAGUGAAGGACGGUUUUGCUGUCACUUAUAGAUGGAUCCGCGCCGCAUUAGCUAGUUGGUAAGGUAACGGCUUACCAAGGCAACGAUGCGUAGCCGACCUGAGAGGGUGAUCGGCCACACUGGAACUGAGACACGGUCCAGACUCCUACGGGAGGCAGCAGUAGGGAAUCUUCCGCAAAGGGCGAAAGCCUGACGGAGCAACGCCGCGUGAGUGAUGAAGGUCUUCGGAUCGUAAAACUCUGUUAUUAGGGAAGAACAAAUGUGUAAGUAACUAUGCACGUCUUGACGGUACCUAAUCAGAAAGCCACGGCUAACUACGUG
rnacentral:rRNA from 1 species